ACCAUUGGACGCGGAUGUGCCAGCUCUCUCCCUUGUGAACAUCUCAGAGGCGUUUGGCACCAGCGCAGGCCAUGGACGCGGAGUCGGUCGCUUCGUUGGACCACCUGUUCGACGCUCUCGGGGUCGGGCGCUGGACCCUCGCCGUGUUCUUCACGUACUUAUGCUGGGCAUUCCUCCUCCCUCCAUUCUCCCUGGGGGGUGCCUUCUACAAUGGCGCGGUGGACCACUGGUGCGACAUACCUCAACUCAGCAACAGCUCCUGGACUCUAGAGCAACGACUCAAUUACUCUAUACCAUGGGAGGAAAACAGGAAUCAAAUGAGGCGAUCACAGUGCAGGAUGUACGUAAGAGACUACGAGGCCGUUGCUGACCUUCCCUGGUCAACUGACCUUGCUUUGACCCCUGAUGAAGCAGCAAGUUUGGAAACGACUUCAUGCAGCCACUGGGAGUAUGACACCUCAACAUUUCACUCGACGGUCGCAAGUGAGUGGGACCUGGUGUGCGACCGGGCGUAUCUCAGCCCGUUGUUCCAGAGUUUCUACUACUUCGGGUGCGCCGUCGGGGAUCCCGUGCUCGGAUUACUCUCGGACAAAUACGGACGCAAAACUGUGGUGUUCGGAGUCGCUUUGAUAUUCUCCGCGAUGGCUCUGACUUCGGCGCUAGCACACACUUACCCUGUGAUGCUCGUAGCAUGGUUUGUCAUGGGCCUAAUGCAUCCCAUCUGUGGUGUUGUCUAUGUCAAAGUGGUAGAGGCAUGUCCAACUAAACAUCGCACAGUAGUCGGUAUUCUGACGACGUCCCCGUUUGCUCUUGGUGGGAUGGCCUUCGGCGGAUGGGCGUUCCUCCUGCGGGACUGGCGCACCCUCCAGCUGGUGUGCAUGGCGCCCGCGGCCCUGCUUCUGGCUCACCUCCCUUUCAUCGACGAGUCUCCGCGUUGGCUGGCGGUGAAGGGCAGGGUUGAUGAGGCGGAGCGGAUUUUCGCCAAGGCGGCGCGCUGGCACGGCGUCGCCCUGCCUGCGCAACUGCCCGAAAUCCUUCAGAAGUGCAAGGAUCACGCGGCGAUAAACGAGAAGGCAAGGAGACUCGAGAAGAGUGGCAAGUGCGGGCCAGUUCGGAAGUGGAUGAAUGACGUGGCCGUGCUGGUCUCAAGCCCCGCCCUCAGAAGGAUUACGCUGGUCAUGUUCGGCAACUUCUUCUUCACCGGCUUCACCUACUGGGGCAUCAGCCUCGCUGGAAACACCUUCAGCCAGGACCCGUUCCUGUACAUGCUGUUCAGCAGCGCGUUGGAAGUCCCCGCGUACACUGUCUUUGCCCCCAUCGUUAUGCUGUUCGGUCGACGCCGCGUCCUCGCCGCAAACUUUGCUGCUGGACUUGGGUCAUCUUUUCCCUUGCACUGGUGGGAAAGUUCUUUAUCACUGGAAACUACAACGUCCUCUACCUAGUGUGUUCGGAAGUAUUCCCUACGUGUGUUAGAUCAAGAGGGCUGAACCUCUCCUCGACCAUGGCGCGUCUCAGCUCUAUUCUUUCGCCUUUCAUCAUUCAGAUCAUGGGCCAGACAUAUUGGUGGGCGCCAUCGGUGUUCUUCGGCAGUAGCGCCGCCAUCGGAGGACUCCUAUCACUGCUGCUGCCCGAGACCAGCAACCAGCCGCUGCCGGACAACAUUGAGGAACUUCGAG
rnacentral:misc_RNA from 1 species